GAUGAAAACGUAGCGAAAUGCGAUAAGUAAUGUGAAUUGCAGAAUUCAGUGAAUCAUCGAAUCUUUGAACGCACAUUGCGCCCCCUGGUAUUCCGGGGGGCAUGCCUGUUCGAGCGUCAUUUCACCACUCAAGCCUCGCUUGGUAUUGGGCAACGCGGUCCGCCGCGUGCCUCAAAUCGUCCGGCUGGGUCUUCUGUCCCCUAAGCGUUGUGGAAACUAUUCGCUAAAGGGUGUUCGGGAGGCUACGCCGUAAAACAACCCCAUUUCUAAGGUUGACCUCGGAUCAGGUAGGGAUACCCGCUGAACUUAAGCAUAUCAAUAAGCGGAGGA
rnacentral:misc_RNA from 1 species